GCGUGAGUGAAGAAGGCCUUAGGGUUGUAAAGCUCUUUCACCGGUGAAGAUAAUGACUGUAGCCGGAGAAGAAGCCCCGGCUAACUUCGUGCCAGCAGCCGCGGUAAUACGAAGGGGGCUAGCGUUGUUCGGAAUUACUGGGCGUAAAGCGCGCGUAGGCGGAUACUUAAGUCAGGGGUGAAAUCCCGAGGCUCAACCUCGGAACUGCCUUUGAUACUGGGUAUCUUGAGUUCGAGAGAGGUAAGUGGAAUUCCGAGUGUAGAGGUGAAAUUCGU
rnacentral:rRNA from 1 species